UACGGAGGGUGCGAGCGUUGUCCGGAAUCACUGGGCGUAAAGGGCGCGUAGGCGGCAGGCCAAGCGUGCGGUGAAAGUCCGGGGCUCAACCCCGGAUCUGCCGUGCGGACUGGUUUGCUAGAGCACUUUAGAGGCGAGUGGAAUUCCGGGUGUAGCGGUGGAAUGCGUAGAGAUCCGGAAGAACACCGGUGGCGAAGGCGGCUCGCUGGGCAGUGGCUGACGCUGAGGCGCGACAGCGUGGGGAGCAAACAGG
rnacentral:rRNA from 1 species